rnacentral:tRNA from 1 species
GGAGAGGUGGCCGAGUGGUUGAAGGCGGUCGUCUCGAAAACGACUAGGGGUUCAAAAGGCCUCUCGUGGGUUCAAAUCCCACCCUCUCCGCCA